UAAAUACAGACACAAGUCAACAUUGCCC
rnacentral:piRNA from 1 species